rnacentral:rRNA from 2 species
GUCCGUUUCGGCUGACUCUUACCAUGGGCCCGCUGCGCUUUAACUUGUUGGUGAGGUUACGGCUCUGCCUAGCCACGAUGCCUUUGCGACCUGAGAGGGUGAUCGGUGACACUGGGACUGAGACACGGCCCAAACUCCUACGGGAAGUUGCCGUAGGGAAUCUUUCCCUCUGGAUUAAAAUCUGAUGGAUCCUCGCCGCGUGAACCAUGAAGGCCUUCGGGUCGUAAAGCUCUGUUCUAGGGAAGAACAGUACCCGAGUACCGCCGUACCUUGACGUACCUAUCCGCACCCGCGCUAAGUACCCCCAGGAGCCGCGCUAUACUAGGUGG